rnacentral:rRNA from 1 species
CAGUCGCCACGGGAAUACAGAGGGUGCAAGCGUUAAUCGGAAUUACUGGGCGUAAAGCGCGCGUAGGUGGUUUGUUAAGUUGGAUGUGAAAGACCCGGGCUCAACCUGGGAACUGCAUCCAAAACUGGCAAGCUAGAGUACGGUAGAGGGUGGUGGAAUUUCCUGUGUAGCGGUGAAAUGCGUAGAUAUAGGAAGGAACACCAGUGGCGAAGGCGACCACCUGGACUGAUACUGACACUGAGGUGCGAAAGCGUGGGGAGCAAACAGGAUUAGAUACCCCUGUAGUCCCUGUCUCUUAUAC